AAAAAAAAUCUUCUACUGUUUGAGGAAGCGUUUCCCCUGGUUCAGUGCUGUCUGCCAGGUGUGGUCCCUCUGCCGUGUGCCUGGUGGCCAGAGGUGAGCUUGGGAAAGACUGUUGUUGUCCAUGACUUCUUCCAAUGCCGCCUGGGACACUUAGUGAGCAUGCAGCACCCCUUCCACAUCUGCAAACGAUGCAGGUGGGUGUUGUGGGGUGGCGGCCAUGAUUCUCAGUCAAGCUGGGAGCGGAUAUUCAACGGCCCUACCGUCCACCUUUAGUGUCCUUCCGUGUGCGUUGUUGUUCUAGAACAGAGAUUAUCUGACAGUCUCUCCUGGCUUCUGCGGGCACCAGGCACUAACAUGAUGCAUAGAUACACCUGCAGCCAAAACAUCCAUCCCCAUAAAAUGUAAAGCGAUUAAAAU